rnacentral:lncRNA from 1 species
AGAACAAUAAAAAAAAAAAUCAUCCAAGAAAUUAAAUAUAAAAGAUAUUUUUUCGAAAACAAAAUGACCACCCAUAUAGAAUGUAUGAAAGGCGAAUUGGAUCUGUUUGAACCACAUCCCACACAAAGCUCUAUUCUGAAAACUGAAGAAGUUUCAUACAACCCCAUAGCAUCGUUGGACAGUGCUUCUUCAAUUGAGUUCGUGUGCUUAGGAAAUGGUGAAACAUAUCGAGACCUGUCAAGUGUUUACUUAAGACUUAUUGUACAGCUAAGAAAAAAUGAUAAUGGUGUCAUUGAAGGAUACAAUGUUGGAGUAGUUAAUAAUAUUUUGCAUUCAAUGUUUAGAAGUUC